UACGUAGGGUGCGAGCGUUGUCCGGAAUUACUGGGCGUAAAGGGCGCGUAGGCGGCGGGGUAAGUCGGGUGUGAAAUCUCAGAGCUCAACUCUGAAAUGGCGCUUGAUACUGCUCUGCUAGAGGACUGGAGAGGAGAUUGGAAUUCACGGUGUAGCAGUGAAAUGCGUAGAUAUCGUGAGGAAGACCGGUGGCGAAGGCGGAGCUCUGGACAGUUCCUGACGCUGAGGCGCGAAAGCCAGGGGAGCAAACGGG
rnacentral:rRNA from 1 species